CGGGGCAUCAACUUCCACCAGAGACCACGACAGCAAGAGCUCAGUGUGCAUGGACACAGGGGAGAAUUUAAAAGCUGGACCCAUCCUGACUCUUUGUGUCUCCUGUCUGUUCCUGCCUGUGCAUCUCUGGGAGUCUAGCUAUUUCCUGUCGGUGUCCCUCAGCCGUCUUCAGGACCUCAGAGGACCCCGCACUGCUUAUGAAGAGGACAAGAUUUCCAUUCCAGAGUUCGAAGAACAAGGCCAAUAUUAAAAGUACUUGCAGUGACCUGCAUGCAGCCUUGGGGCUACUUGUGAGUGGAACAGUCUUGACUCCAC
rnacentral:lncRNA from 1 species